GGGCCCGCACAAGCGGUGGAGCAUGUGGCUUAAUUCGAGGCAACGCGAAGAACCUUACCUGGUCUUGACAUGCCCGUCAUAGUUUUCUGAAAGGAAUACGUCAGUUCGGCUGGACGGUGCACAGGUGCUGCAUGGCUGUCGUCAGCUCGUGUCGUGAGAUGUUCGUUAAGUCCGGCAACGAGCGCAACCCUCGUUCCUAGUUGCCAGCGGGUAAUGCCGGGGACUCUAGGAAGACAAACCUCGUGUAGAGGUGGGAAGGUGGGGACGACGUCAAGUCAGUAUGGCCCUUACGACCAGGGCUGCACACGUGCUACAAUGCCCGGUACAAUGGGAUGCAAUACCGCGAGGUUGAGCAAA
rnacentral:rRNA from 1 species